ensembl:lncRNA
AUUCAGUGUUGACAGUUAUCUGCAUGCUCUUUACAGAGCCACUAAAGUGAGCCUGCCACAGGACACACAAGGCCUUUUGUCUGGGGCUCUUGUGUGGAUCUCACACAGAGCAUGAUAUCCAGGGAAGUGUAAGUGUGAUCUGGGUAACAAGGGCAUGACCUGAGGCCGAGGUUUGCUUCUGUUGAGGCACUGAGGUGACAGUGUGUUCUUUUUCUCCCUAGGACUGGCCCCUGGGAUUUGCUGCUCAGGACCCGAGUUCACUGAGACAUCAGGAGCAAGCACUGGAGGCCCGGUGCUGCUGGACCCAGAUGGGAGCCAUGCAGGACUUGACCAUUGCCUGCACACACUUCUUCCCAGGAGAAAGGGAAUGAGCAAGGACUGGCCCCUGGGAUUUGCUGCUCAGAACCUGAAUUCACUGAGACAUCAGGAGCAAGCACUGGAGGCCGGUGCUGCUGGACCCAGAUGGGAGCCAUGCAGGACUUGACCAUUGCCUGCACACACUUCUUCCAGGAGAAGGGGAAUGAGGAAGAACUAGAUCCUAAGAGCAGAAGACAAUCAUAUGUCCUGAGAACCCAUUGGAGGUUGAACGCUGCUGGGUGGAUGGAGAAAGGCAGAAAUGCAGAAUUUCGUCAUUGCCUGGAUGCUGACUUUAUCCAAAGAGAAGAUGCAUGAGGAGUGUACAUGCCUCAGAACUGGAUGCUGAGACAUGCCCCCGCGAUCCCAAGACCACCAGGUACCGUGAGCAAUCACUGGAGCUGGAACACUGCUGCCUGAAGAAGAAAAGAAGUGCAGGCUUGUCAUUGUCUAUGCUGUUACUUGUGGUUCCCAGGUCUUCAGAGAGGAUGCACAAAGACGGGAGGCAGACUGGCAUCACAGGACCCUUCCGAGUAUUAACGCAGACCCUGGUGACAGAGGUCCAGUACCAAGUGCGCAGCUGUGCUGAGGUGCAGGGACAGGAGGCAGAAGGGCAGGUUCCAGCCCGCUCAGCUGGCCAUGGUAAGAUACUAGCUGGUGUCCUAGGGCAGCAAGGCGCCUCCCUCUCCAGGUUCUGAAGAGAAAACACUGCAGUCUGAGUUUCUGUUGGGACCUGAGCAGAAGACAAGGAAGCCCAGCUAGGCACCCACAGCUGCUCCUGCUCUCUGUAAUCGGCCGCCAUCUUCCUUCAUUCUUUCAUGACUGAGGUGCGCGUACAGGAAGCAGAGGGGCAGGUUCCACCCCGCUCAGCUGGCCAUGGUAAUCUACUUGCUGGUGUCCUACUCUCCCGGUUCUGAAGAGAAAACACUGCAGUCUGAGUUUCUGUUGGGGCCUGAGGAGUAGUCAAGGAAGCCCAGCUAGGCACUCACAGCUGCUCCUGCUGUCUGUAAUUGGUCGCCAUCUUCCGCCAUUGCUAGGAAUCAUGGGCAGGAGGAGAGUGGCCCUGUGAGUUUUGAAACCGUGUCCUCAUGGUGGCAGUAGAGCUCCAAACAAGAGCUUGUGAGUGCUUCUCCCCCGCCCUUCCUGUCUGAAAAAACUCCAAAGAUGGCUGUCCUAACUUUUUAUUUUGAUUUUUCUUUAUUUUUCCAGACAGGAUUUUGCUGUAUAGCCCUGGCUGUCCUAGAACUCACUUUGUACAACAGGUUGGCAUCGAACUCAGAAAUCCACCUGCCUCUGCCUCCCGAGUGCUGGGAUUAAUGGUGUGCACCACUAUGCCCUGCUGUCUGCCCUAACUUUUACCCAGCUUUGAAUAGUUUCAACUGUAUUUUAUUUUUUUGUCACAUGUUCCAUGUGAAGCCAAUCUGAGGCCCUAGGUAAUGGGACUAUUUUCCUUCAGUUAUGUAGGGUUUUUCCUUUUUCUCCCUUUAUAAUUGUUGAUUUUUUCUUUUUCAGAUACUUAAUGGUUUUCAUAAAAUUUUGAUAUGUUUAAUUUUGUGUCAGUUUUACAUGAUAAAGAUAUGGUAGCAGAUUUAGAAGCCAAGGACUAUGCUGAGCCCUAGUCCUAGUGAACUACAAGAGGCUGGAUGGCCUGGGCCUUUCCAGUAGGCUUCUGUCUUUUCGUCUGGGAGUUCCAGAAUAGUCCAUGCUACCAUACCCAGAGGACAGGAGUAGGUUUAACUUUGUCUUAAGUAAACUAUCAAUAAACAAACACUUGCCAGUUGAUAAUUAUAUCUC